UCUCCGUAGGUGAACCAGCGGAGGGAUCAUUACAGGAUCGAAAGACUCCUAUAACCCCUGUGAACUUACUACAAAUACGUUGCUUCGGCGGGUGCCCCGGGUCUCCCGGGGCGUUCAGCCCACCGGCAGCCUUCAAAUUCUGUUUCUUUGCGUUGGCAUCUCGAGUAUACAAAAAUAAGUUAAAACUUUCAACAACGGAUCUCUUGGUUCUG
rnacentral:misc_RNA from 1 species